UACGGGGGGGGGCAAGCGUUGUUCGGAAUUACUGGGCGUAAAGGGCUCGUAGGUUGCCAACUAAGUCAGACGUGAAAUCCCUCGGCUUAACCGGGGAACUGCGUCUGAUACUGGAUGGCUUGAGUUCGGGAGAGGGAUGCGGAAUUCCAGGUGUAGCGGUGAAAUGCGUAGAUAUCUGGAGGAACACCGGUGGCGAAGGCGGCUCUCUGGGCCUUACCUGACGCUGAGGAGCGAAAGCGUGGGUAGCGAACAGG
rnacentral:rRNA from 1 species